ACUCCUACGGGAGGCAGCAGUGGGGAAUAUUGCACAAUGGGCGCAAGCCUGAUGCAGCCAUGCCGCGUGUGUGAAGAAGGCCUUCGGGUUGUAAAGCACUUUCAGUAGGGAGGAAGGUGGUAGUGUUAAUAGCGCAUCAUUUUGACGUUACCUACAGAAGAAGCACCGGCUAACUCCGUGCCAGAGCCGCGGUAAUACGGAGGGUGCGAGCGUUAAUCGGAAUUACUGGGCGUAAAGCGCAUGCAGGUGGUUUGUUAAGUCAGAUGUG
rnacentral:rRNA from 1 species